AAGGCUGUAGAAAAUUUUUAGUAGCUUCAGUCUUUAAGUACAGCAGGUUAGAGGGUUAUAAACCAGUCUCACUGCUGUUUCAAUUUGUUCAUGUUUUGUAGGGUUUUUCGUGAUGUUGGAACUCCGAUAUUCAUACAAGCUCAACUCAUUGAAUUUGGACGGCAAAUUUGGACUUACUCAAGGUGCAAGCAGUAUUAAGGGGACCUGUAAAAGUGAUCACAUCCACAGACAAGCAUUGACUCUUCUUGUGUAAUAGAAACAUAAAAUAGAGCUUCUAUGCUUGAUGAAUUUAUACUCCAGCC
rnacentral:lncRNA from 1 species